CCUACGGGUGGCAGCAGUAGGGAAUCUUUCACAAUGGGCGAAAGCCUGAUGGAGCAACGCCGCGUGCAGGAUGAAGGCCUUCGGGUUGUAAACUGCUUUUAUAAGCGAGAAAUAUGAUGGUAACUUAUGAAUAAGGAUCGGCUAACUACGUGCCAGCAGCCGCGGUCAUACGUAGGAUCCGAGCAUUAUCCGGAGUGACUGGGUGUAAAGAGUUGCGUAGGUGGCAUAAUAAGUAGCUAGUGAAAUCGGGUGGCUCAACCAUUCAGACUAUUAGCUAAACUGUUAAUCUCGAGACCGUUAGGGGUAACUGGAAUUUCUAGUGUAGGAGUGAAAUCCGUAGAUAUUAGAAGGAACACCAAUAGCGUAGGCAGGUUACUGGGACGGUUCUGACACUAAGGCACGAAAGCGUAGGGAGCAAACGGGAUUAGAUACCCUUGUAGUC
rnacentral:rRNA from 1 species